GAUGAACGCUAGCGACAGGCCUAACACAUGCAAGUCGAGGGGCAGCACAAGGUAGCAAUACUGAGGUGGCGACCGGCGCACGGGUGAGUAACGCGUAUGCAACCUGCCUGUAACAGGGGAAUAGCCUCUUGAAAGAGAGAUUAAUGCCGCAUAAUACGAGAUUCGGGCAUCCGGAUUUAGUUAAACAUUUAUGGGUUACAGAUGGGCAUGCGUUUCAUUAGGUAGUUGGUGAGGUAACGGCUCACCAAGCCGACGAUGAAUAGGGGUUCUGAGAGGAAGGUCCCCCACACUGGUACUGAGACACGGACCAGACUCCUACGGGAGGCAGCAGUGAGGAAUAUUGGUCAAUGGACGCAAGUCUGAACCAGCCAAGUCGCGUGAAGGAUGAAGGUAUUAUGUAUUGUAAACUUCUUUUGUCAGGGAAUAAUGGGUGUCACGUGUGACGCAGAGGAAUGUACCUGACGAAUAAGCAUCGGCUAACUCCGUGCCAGCAGCCGCGGUAAUACGGAGGAUGCGAGCGUUAUCCGGAUUUAUUGGGUUUAAAGGGUGCGUAGGCGGUUUGUUAAGUCAGUGNNGAAAGUUUGCGGCUCAACCGUAAAAUUGCCAUUGAAACUGGCGAACUUGAGUACAGUAGAGGUAGGCGGAAUUCGUGGUGUAGCGGUGAAAUGCUUAGAUAUCACNAA
rnacentral:rRNA from 1 species